rnacentral:rRNA from 1 species
AUUGAACGCUGGCGGCAUGCCUUACACAUGCAAGUCGAACGGCAGCACGGGAGCAAUCCUGGUGGCGAGUGGCGAACGGGUGAGUAAUAUAUCGGAACGUGCCCAGUCGUGGGGAUAACGUAGCGAAAGCUACGCUAAUACCGCAUACGAUCUAUGGAUGAAAGCGGGGGAUCGCAAGACCUCGCGCGAUUGGAGCGGCCGAUAUCAGAUUAGGUAGUUGGUGAGGUAAAGGCUCACCAAGCCGACGAUCUGUAGCUGGUCUGAGAGGACGACCAGCCACACUGGGACUGAGACACGGCCCAGACUCCUACGGGAGGCAGCAGUGGGGAAUUUUGGACAAUGGGCGCAAGGCCUGAUCCAGCAAUGCCGCGUGCAGGAUGAA